rnacentral:rRNA from 1 species
CAUAUCAAUAAGCGGAGGAAAAGAAACCAACAGGGAUUGCCUUAGUAGCGGCGAGUGAAGCGGCAAAAGCUCAAAUUUGAAAUCUGGCACUUUCAGUGUCCGAGUUGUAAUUUGAAGAAGGUAUCUUUGGGUCUGGCUCUUGUCUAUGUUUCUUGGAACAGAACGUCACAGAGGGUGAGAAUCCCGUGCGAUGAGAUGUCCCAGACCUAUGUAAAGUUCCUUCGAAGAGUCGAGUUGUUUGGGAAUGCAGCUCUAAGUGGGUGGUAAAUUCCAUCUAAAGCUAAAUAUUGGCGAGAGACCGAUAGCGAACAAGUACAGUGAUGGAAAGAUGAAAAGAACUUUGAAAAGAGAGUGAAAAAGUACGUGAAAUUGUUGAAAGGGAAGGGCUUGAGAUCAGACUUGGUAUUUUGUAUGUUACUCUCUCGGGGGUGGCCUCUACAGUUUACCGGGCCAGCAUCAGUUUGAGCGGUAGGAUAAGUGCAAAGAAAUGUGGCACUGCUUCGGUAGUGUGUUAUAGUCUUUGUCGAUACUGCCAGCUUAGACUGAGGACUGCGGCUUCGGCCUAGGAUGUUGGCAUAAUGAUCUUAAGUCGC